rnacentral:lncRNA from 1 species
AUUGGACGCCAAAAGAGCUGAUGAGUUUACCAAGGGAGGCAGUAUAGAUAGAGAACAGUAGGGGGCCGAGGACAGAACCUUGGGGGAUGCCGACAGGGAGGGGUUGGGGAGAAGAGGCAGAGCCAGAGAAAGAAACACUGAAGGAGCGCUGGGAGAGGUAGGAGGAGCACCAGGAGAGAGCAGAAUCUCGUAGACCAAAGUUACGAGAAUGUGAAGAAGCUGUUGAUGAUCAACAGUGUCAAAGGCGGCAGAAAGAUCAAGGAGGAUUAGGAUAGAGUAUUGGCCGCGAGAUUUAGCAGCAAUUAAAUCGUUGGAUACUUUGGUCACAGCAGUUUCGACAGAGUGACCAGCGCGGAAUCCAGACUGAAGGGGGUCAAGCAGAG